rnacentral:lncRNA from 1 species
CGUGAUCCUAGGAAUCUGAAACUCUCUCUCCUACGUGAUCAUCGCAUAAGAAGAUUUGAAACGAUUUUUCUCUCUCCAAUCCCUCACUAUAAAAGGCGGUCUACAAUCUCAUUUACCUUUUUACUGCUUCUGGAUUUUCUAAAGAGCAAAAACUCCUAAAAGCUUCACUGUUCAUCAUCUUCUUCUACUACCUUCAACAAUGGCAGAAUCCUCUUCCGUCCAUGCUACAUCACAAAUCCUUCCCAUCCGUCCACAACAAUGUCUGGUGAUUGAUCUCAACCCUCUGGCGUACGACUCCUACAUGUCGCCGAUCAUCGAGUGCUUGAAGUACUCUCAAAUCGCCACCGUUCUCUCCAGGAUCGAAUCUGUGCCCAUGGUGGCUCUAUCGCAGGUUUAUGCGACUGCCUAUUACGACAAAGCAGUCGAGCGGGUGUUCUUCGAGAUUGCUGAACACAAGACCUCUGUUUCUCGACAACGUUUCUGCACAAUGCUAGGGUUGGCUGUUGACCCAUCGAGAAUAAAUCCGGAGACGAUUCCAGUUGGGUAUCUGUAUAACAUGUUUUACAACAUGGGGUACACGGAGGUUCUCACCUCCGUCGCAAAGUUCAAGAAGUCCUGUUUGCCGCCACAGUGGAACGGCAUGUUCACAAUCCUCUUCAAGGGCUUGUCGGAACGGAGCUCAGGAUCCGACGGGGCUAGUCGACUUUUCUUGUCGAUCAUGUAUGCAGUCUACAACGGGGUUAAUUUGGACUUUGGGAUGGUCCUCUGGCAACAGCUCGNAUUUUAAAUUUUUUUAUCUGAGAUUUUAUGUUUUUCCAAGCCCAUUUAAAAUAAAUUUCUACCUACUUGUUCAACAGGCUACACUGGUCUCACAAGUACUUUGUUCACUUUCUUUCUUAUUUCAAGAUUAGAAUUGAUGAAUCAAAGCGAAAGCCACCCCUAUUUAGCCUAAUUAAAAGAAGCCUUUCAACAUUUAUUAAUAAGUGUUUGAUCGUAAUUCAACGGGAAUCCACACUAACACUUUAAGGUCUCUCUUGACCUUGAAGGAAGAGAUUCGUGCCCGGGAUCAUCAGUUUCGUGUCUUUAUUGACAUCACAGAAUAUCCUUAAAAGAGUUGGUUUAUUUCUUUUUCUUUUACACUCUUUGCACGAAAAUCUUUGAUUUUCCAAAAUUCCGUUACUAAUUAUUACAGGUUGUCUUAUUACUUUGGUGGAUAAUUAUGAAGUUGUGGUCAAAAACAAUCCACGUGGGUAUUUAAUUCAAAAGAUGCCGUUUAAAAGGAUAAGACGAAAGGUUGCUGACUAGGCGGGAGUUAAACGGAUUGAAAUACAAACGACGGUAAAAAGGGGGCGCGUGUGAAUUCGAAACGCCCAUGCUUUUACUGACAUUAUGGACGCGUGUGCGAAAUCCAAGCGACAUCCCUCUGGCAUUUAAAGGCGCGUGAGCAUUUCAAGCGGUUUUUCUUCUGAAACGGCGCUUGUUGGGUGGCGUGAUCCUAGGAAUCUGACACUCUCUUUCCUACGUGAUCAUCGCCUAGAAGAUAUGAAACGAUUUUUCUCUCUCCAAUCCCUCACUAUAAAAGGCAGUCUACACUCUUAUUUACCUUUUUACUGCCUCCGAAAUUUCUAAAGAGCAAAUACUCCCAAACAGCUUUCCUGUUCAUCAUCUUCUUCUACUACCUUCAACAAUGGCAGAAUCCUCUUCCGUCCAUGCUACAUCACAAAUCCUUCCCAUCCGUCCACAACAAUGUCUGGUGAUUGAUCUCAACCCUCUGGCGUACGACUCCUACAUGUCGCCGAUUAUCGAAUGCCUGAAGUACUCCCAAAUCGCCACCGCUCCCUCCAGGAUCGAGUCUGUUCCCAUGGUGGCCCUAUCGCAGGUUUAUGCGACUGCCUAUUACAACAAGGCAGUCGAACGAGUGUUCUUCGAGAUUGCUGAACACAAGACAUCUGUCUCUCGACAACGUUUUUGCACAAUGCUAGGGUUGGCUGUUGACCCAUCGAGAAUAAAUCCGGAGACGAUUCCAGUUGGGUAUCUGUAUAACAUGUUUUACAACAUGGGGUACACGGAGGUUCUUACCUCCGUCGCAAAGUUCAAGAAGUCCUGCCUGCUGCCACAGUGGAACGACAUGUUCACAGUCCUCUUCAAGGGCUUGUCGGAACGGAGCUCAGGGUCCGACGGGGCUAGUCGACUUUUCUUGUCGAUCAUGUAUGCUGUCUACAACGGGGUUAAUUUGGACUUUGGGAUGGUCCUCUGGCAACAGCUCGUCCAGAGCCUUUCUUCAUCAUCUAGACACUCUGAGGUGUCGUUGGCCCGGUUUUGGAUUCUAAUCACAAAGUGGGCGAUGGACAAGUUCGACAUUCCCACUGCUGCAGGUGCAUCGAUGUCUUCUAUCGGUACGUUUCAUACCAAGAAGAUCAUCGUCUCGGAUGCUUCGAAAUUCUCAUUUAUUGGCUCUAUUCCGGAGACAAUGUAUGGCGUUGUUCCCUCUGACAGCAGACUAAUUCGGACGAUUAAGUAAUUCAGGGCAACUGGUCCUAGGGAACUUACACCGGAUAUGCUCAGGUCUAUCCACGAUGCAGACAAACUGGUGUCCAGGGGCAAAAAGGCGGAUAAAGGGAAGCAAGCGACCAAAGCUCCUACGGGUCCUUCUCCCAAGAAGAGGAAAUAGC